rnacentral:rRNA from 1 species
UACGUAGGGGGCAAGCGUUGUCCGGAAUUAUUGGGCGUAAAGCGCGCGCAGGCGGUCAUUUAAGUCUGGUGUUUAAGCCCGGGGCUCAACCCCGGUUCGCAUCGGAAACUGGAUGACUUGAGUGUAGGAGAGGAAAGUGGAAUUCCACGUGUAGCGGUGAAAUGCGUAGAGAUGUGGAGGAACACCAGUUGCGAAGGCGACUUUCUGGCCUAUAACUGACGCUGAGGCGCGAAAGCGUGGGGAUCGAACAGG